CCUACGGGGGGCAGCAGUGAGGAAUAUUGGUCAAUGGCCGGAAGGCUGAACCAGCCAUGCCGCGUGAAGGUCAGUGCCCUAUGGGCGUUAAACUUCUUUUGUGCGGGAGCAAUAAUGGUCACGUGUGGCCAGACGAGAGUACCGUACGAAUAAGCAUCGGCUAACUCCGUGCCAGCAGCCGCGGUAAUACGGGGGAUGCAAACGUUAUCCGGGUUUAUUGGGUUUAAAGGGUGCGUAGGCUGUGAGGUAAGUCAGCGGUGAAAUGCCCCCGCUCAACGGGGUGAAGUGCCAUUGAUACUGCCUGGCUGGAAUGCGGAUGCCGUGGGAGGAAUGUGUGGUGUAGCGGUGAAAUGCAUAGAUAUCACACAGAACACCGAUUGCGAAGGCAUCUCACGAAUCCGCGAUUGACGCUGAUGCACGAAAGCGUGGGUAUCAAACAGGAUUAGAUACCCGGGUGGUC
rnacentral:rRNA from 1 species